rnacentral:lncRNA from 1 species
GAGGAAGAGCAGGUGAAGAUUUUUUCCCACAUUGUGGGUUGUCUCUUCACACUGCUGGUGGUUUCUCUUGUUGUGCAGAAGCUUUUUAAUAAGAAGACAUCCCAUUUGUUGAUUGUUUGUGCUAGUUCACGGGCAACUGUGGUUUUGUUCAUAAAAUCUUUUCCUACACCGAUGUCUUCAAGGGUUCUACCUAACCUCUGUUCCAACUGGUUCAGAGUUUCUAUUUUAAUAUUUAGAUCUUUAAUCCAUUUUGAUUUUAGUUUAGUGCAUGGUGAGAGAUAUAGGUCUAGUUUUAAUCUUUGUCAAGUUGAAACCCAAGUUUUCCAGCACCAUUUAUUAAAGAGGCUAUCUUUCCUCCAAUGAGGGUGUUUGGCUCCUUUGUCAAAGAUGAGGUGGCUGAGUGUGUCUGGAGUUGUUUCUGCAUCUUCUAAUCUGUUCCACUGGUCCCCAGGUCUGUUUCUUUGCCAGUACCAUGCUGUUUUUAUCACAGUAGCUUUGUAGGAUAGUUUCAAGUUGGGGAUUGUGAUACCCCCUGCCAUGUCUCUGUUACCUAGAAUUGCUUUUGCUAUUCUGGGUCUCUUCUUCUUCCAAAUGAAUUUUUGGAU